rnacentral:snoRNA from 1 species
AUAAAAUGAUGAAGAAUAAACCAUUCACAGACAGCAGGUGUACCGCUGUCGCGCGAAGGAUGAGUUGAAGGUUUUCUUCUACAAGUCCUGGGCGCAGAUAGCAUGCCUGUCCCAUGGUAUAAAACUUGGCUCUGAUUUU